GACGAACGCUGGCGGCGUGCUUAACACAUGCAAGUCGAACGGAAAGGCCCUGCUUUUGUGGGGUGCUCGAGUGGCGAACGGGUGAGUAACACGUGAGUAACCUGCCCUUGACUUUGGGAUAACUUCAGGAAACUGGGUCUAAUACCGGAUAGGAGCUCCUGCUGCAUGGUGGGGGUUGGAAAGUUUCGGCGGUUGGGGAUGGACUCGCGGCUUAUCAGCUUGUUGGUGGGGUAGUGGCUUACCAAGGCUUUGACGGGUAGCCGGCCUGAGAGGGUGACCGGCCACAUUGGGACUGAGAUACGGCCCAGACUCCUACGGGAGGCAGCAGUGGGGAAUAUUGCACAAUGGGCGGAGGCCUGAUGCAGCAACGCCGCGUGCGGGAUGACGGCAUUCGAGUUGUAAACCGAUUUCGCCUGUGACGAAGCGUGAGUGACGGUAAUGGGUAAAGAAGCACCGGCUAACUACGUG
rnacentral:rRNA from 1 species